rnacentral:rRNA from 1 species
GGCAGUCUACAAGCCCCAACGAGCCCGAUCCCAGCUGAUCGCGGAAGCUAAGCAGGGUCCGGCCUGGUUAGUACUUGGAUGGGAGACCACCUAGGAAGACCAGGUGCUACGGGCA